AUGAACGCUAGCUACAGGCUUAACACAUGCAAGUCGAGGGGCAUCAGGAAGAAAGCUUGCUUUCUUUGCUGGCGACCGGCGCACGGGUGAGUAACACGUAUCCAACCUGCCCUUUACUCGGGGAUAGCCUUUCGAAAGAAAGAUUAAUACCCGAUGGCAUAAUGAUUCCGCAUGGUUUCAUUAUUAAAGGAUUCCGGUAAAGGAUGGGGAUGCGUUCCAUUAGGUUGUUGGUGAGGUAACGGCUCACCAAGCCUUCGAUGGAUAGGGGUUCUGAGAGGAAGGUCCCCCACAUUGGAACUGAGACACGGUCCAAACUCCUACGGGAGGCAGCAGUGAGGAAUAUUGGUCAAUGGGCGCUAGCCUGAACCAGCCAAGUAGCGUGAAGGAUGAAGGCUCUAUGGGUCGUAAACUUCUUUUAUAUAAGAAUAAAGUGCAGUAUGUAUACUGUUUUGUAUGUAUUAUAUGAAUAAGGAUCGGCUAACUCCGUGCCAGCAGCCGCGGUAAUACGGAGGAUCCGAGCGUUAUCCGGAUUUAUUGGGUUUAAAGGGAGCGUAGGUGGACUGGUAAGUCAGUUGUGAAAGUUUGCGGCUCAACCGUAAAAUUGCAGUUGAUACUGUCAGUCUUGAGUACAGUAGAGGUGGGCGGAAUUCGUGGUGUAGCGGUGAAAUGCUUAGAUAUCACGAAGAACUCCGAUUGCGAAGGCAGCUCACUGGACUGCAACUGACACUGAUGCUCGAAAGUGUGGGUAUCAAACAGGAUUAGAUACCCUGGUAGUCCACACAGUAAACGAUGAAUACUCGCUGUUUGCGAUAUACAGUAAGCGGCCAAGCGAAAGCAUUAAGUAUUCCACCUGGGGAGUACGCCGGCAACGGUGAAACUCAAAGGAAUUGACGGGGGCCCGCACAAGCGGAGGAACAUGUGGUUUAAUUAGAUGAUACGCGAGGAACCUUACCAAGUCUUGACAUCCUUCUGACCGGAACUUAACCGUUCCUUCCCUUCGGGGCAGAAGUGACAGGUGGUGCAUGGUUGUCGUCAGCUCGUGCCGUGAGGUGUCGGCUUAAGUGCCAUAACGAGCGCAACCCUUAUCUUUAGUUACUAACAGGUCAUGCUGAGGACUCUAGAGAGACUGCCGUCGUAAGAUGUGAGGAAGGUGGGGAUGACGUCAAAUCAGCACGGCCCUUACGUCCGGGGCUACACACGUGUUACAAUGGGGGGUACAGAAGGCAGCUAGCGGGUGACCGUAUGCUAAUCCCAAAAUCCUCUCUCAGUUCGGAUCGAAGUCUGCAACCCGACUUCGUGAAGCUGGAUUCGCUAGUAAUCGCGCAUCAGCCACGGCGCGGUGAAUACGUUCCCGGGCCUUGUACACACCGCCCGUCAAGCCAUGGGAGCCGGGGGUACCUGAAGUACGUAACCGCAAGGAUCGUCCUAGGGUAAAACUGGUGACUGGGGCU
rnacentral:rRNA from 1 species